rnacentral:lncRNA from 1 species
GAUGCGGGAAAACUUUCUUUAACACCAGCUGCCCCGGUUUGAACUAUCUCGGCUUGAAUCUUUUGUAAAGGUUGUGGACAUUCUUUUCUGAUAAAGUUAACCAUGACAUAUCGCAUUUAUUAUUUUCCCAUCUAUAAGAGAUAGCUGCUCGUAACGACUCUUAACCCAUUCUGCAUCGUCGAGCUCAGUUUCAUGUAUGAUCCUUAUGGAAGGAAUUCCUACCUCAACGGGAAUGGCUGCCUCUUUACCAUAAACCAGCAUAUAGAGGGUUGCCCAAGUUUAUGUGCGGACUGUGGUGCGAUAUCCCAAUAAAUCAAACGAUAACUUCUCGUGCCACUCCUUAUUCUUCUCUAUCAUUUUCCUUACUAUCUUCUUGAUAUUCUUGUUGGUGACUUUUACGGCCCCCUUCAUCUGAUAUCUGUAAGCUUUAGAAUUCUUGUGUAUAAUCUUGAAAGUUUAACACAUAGCUUUCAUCAAGUCACCGUUGAGGUUGGCGC